GCAGCUUAUUUUUCCUUUUUCUUUCAUUGGUCACAGUUAUUUAUUUUCAGUGUGUCAUCUUCUCUAAGUUUCUGAGGGAGUGUUAGCUUGAGGCCUUGCCUUGACAUAAUCAGAUAUAAUCAGAAAAAUGAAAAAUUCCAUAGGAAAGAACUAUUUUAGCCAAGGUGUGUGAGAGAAAUACCACCACUUUCAAGCACUGUUUUCUUCUACUGGAGCCUGCUCAAUAGGGACGUCAACUUUGCUGGGGCUUCCUUUGACAAGAGAAUCGGAACUGACUGGUGACAUUUGUUUCAAUGAAAGCAACGGUGUGAAUAGUAAGUAGUUUUUCCUAUUAUUCAUCUCACUCAGUGGAGAUAAUGAACUCCUCUCCACUGCCAAGAUGAGAAACUACCAUUUCUUACGCAUGGACACAAAGAUGAGAACAAUAAACACUGGGAAUUCAAAAAGGAGGGAAGGAGAAAGAGGAGCAAUGCUUGAAAAACUACCUAUCAGAUCUUAGCCUGCUGCUGGAAAUGGCCCUCUCAGUGGACUCAUCGUGGCAUCGGUGGCAGUGGAGAGUCAGAGAUGGCUUCCCCCAUUGUCCAUCAGAAACCACACCGCUGCUCUCUCCAGAGAAAGGGAGACAGAGCUACAACUUGACACAGCAGCGGAUCGUGUUCCCCAACAACAGCAUAUUCCAUCAAGAUUGGGAAGAGGUCUCCAGGAGAUACCCUGGCAACAGAACCUGCACAACCAAAUACACCCUCUUCACCUUCCUUCCCCGGAAUCUCUUUGAGCAAUUUCAUAGAUGGGCUAACCUCUAUUUCCUAUUCCUGGUGAUUUUGAACUGGAUGCCCUCCAUGGAAGUUUUCCACAGAGAAAUCACCAUGUUACCAUUGGCCAUUGUCUUGUUCGUCAUCAUGAUCAAGGAUGGCAUGGAGGACUUCAAGAGACACCGCUUUGAUAAAGCAAUAAACUGCUCCAACAUUCGAAUUUAUGAAAGAAAAGAGCAGACCUAUGUGCAGAAGUGCUGGAAGGAUGUGCGCGUGGGAGACUUCAUCCAAAUGAAAUGCAACGAGAUUGUCCCAGCAGACAUACUCCUCCUUUUUUCCUCAGACCCCAGUGGGAUAUGCCAUCUGGAAACUGCCAGCUUGGAUGGAGAGACAAACCUCAAGCAAAGACGUGUCGUGAAGGGCUUCUCACAGCAGGAGGUACAGUUCGAACCAGAGCUUUUCCACAAUACCAUCGUGUGUGAGAAACCCAACAACCACCUCAACAAAUUUAAGGGUUAUAUGGAGCAUCCUGACCAGACCAGGACUGGCUUUGGCUGUGAGAGUCUUCUGCUUCAAGGCUGCACCAUCAGAAACACCGAGAUGGCUGUUGGCAUUGUCAUCUAUGCAGGCCAUGAGACAAAAGCCAUGCUGAACAACAGUGGGCCCCGGUACAAACGCAGCAAGAUUGAGCGGCGCAUGAACAUAGACAUCUUCUUCUGCAUUGGGAUCCUCAUCCUCAUGUGCCUUAUUGGAGCUGUAGGUCACAGCAUCUGGAGUGGGACCUUUGAAGAACACCCUCCCUUCGAUGUGCCAGAUGCCGAUGGCAGCUUCCUUCCCAGUGCCCUUGGGGGCUUCUACAUGUUCCUCACAAUGAUCAUCCUGCUCCAGGUGCUGAUCCCCAUCUCUUUGUAUGUCUCCAUUGAGCUGGUGAAGCUCGGGCAAGUGUUCUUCUUGAGCAAUGACCUUGACCUGUAUGAUGAAGAGACCGAUUUAUCCAUUCAAUGUCGAGCCCUCAACAUCACGGAGGACUUGGGCCAGAUCCAGUACAUCUUCUCCGAUAAGACGGGGACCCUGACAGAGAACAAGAUGGUGUUCCGACGUUGCACCAUCAUGGGCAGCGAGUAUUCUCACCAAGAAAAUGGUAUGAGAGCUCCCAAGGGCUCCAUCCCUCUUUCUAAAAGGAAAUACCCUGCUCUCCUAAGAAACGAGGAGAUAAAAGACAUUCUCCUGGCUCUCUUAGAGGCUGUGUGGCAUUUCCACAAGUUGCUUCCUAUAUCCUUGUGGUCUUCCUUGUCACAGAUCAGGGCUGUUCCAAUUACUUAUAAACUUUCAUUUGUUUACAAAGGUUAGAAGUUAUCCCAUAUGUGGUUCCCCUUCAGUUGAUCUUUGUCUGGUGCCAGACAAAGCACUUUAUGAGACGAGUUUUUUAUCUGUCAGCAAUGGAUUGGAGACAUUUCCCAAUUGUGUGCCAGUCACACAACCAAGGCUUGGGAAUUUCUUAGGCCACCUUACCUGACAUGUCAGGGCAGGUCUGUGUCUAGGUGCACGGUCAGAUUUAACACAUCCAGAAGAUGCCUUCUAUUCUAACAGAUCUCUUAGCUUGUCACUGAGGCAAAGUUUUGAUUUAGGAGAUAGGGCUAUAAAAUGCCUGGACUGUUACCUUGCAUGGACUGAAUAUGACUCAUAAAACUGACCUGAUUCCUUCAGCCAUCAUCUGCCCAACUUCGUCCCCCC
rnacentral:sRNA from 1 species